GUGUCCAUAUAUUGCAAUCCGUUAAACCCAAUCCAUAAAGAAACUCAAAGCGCGGCAACGUUCUUCGAAGAAUCAGACUUGCGAAUGAAUCGAGGCAAUAAAGAAACGUGAAAUCAGGGCAUCGAUUGAGUAAACCGACGUGUAAUCAUCACAAUUAGGGCGGUGGGCGACUUUAGGGCUUUCAGAUUUGGGGCUAAUCAUCGCAUGGCAAUAUCAAUUGAAUAACAGAGGUAACAUUGUAUCAACGGCUAUAUGGGCGAAAUCAAUAUACAUAUUGCUCAAACCCUCAAACAGAAACUAAAAUAAGUUUGUGAUUUGUCGAUUUGAUUAUUUGGAACUUGGAAGACAGACACUUCUUUCACUUAGUUUUGCGAUUUCGCCUUGUGGUUGGCUUUGAACUUGGAAGACAGUGGCACUCAGAACUGCAAGAUCUCACCGAGGCUCUACUCACUGCUGCAGUGGUACGGGAGUGGACUGAUGGGUGUGGGAUUUAAACGACUCGGGCCAAAGUGAAUUUUCUAUCUUAGAGAAUUUCCUUGGGAAGAAUGUCGACGGUUAUUGCUUUAGCCCGCAGAAAUGUCCAAACGGGUUCAAUUAGGUGCAAAAUUUGAGAGCCAAAAGGAUAAGAAUGUGGACUACUUGUUUGUCAACUGUCAAGUGGUCCACUUGGUGUGGGAUUAUAUUUCAAAAUUGUGUAGAAUCAUAUCUAGUAUAUUUGCAUUCUUUGUCAAGGAUAUUUUGGGAUGGCACCAGCUAAUUCAAGGUAUCACAAAGCGUAGAAAAUUAGUGUAGACAGUGAUGCAAGUGGCCAUAUGGGUGGUGUGGAGGAGCAGGAAUGAACUCGUCUUUAACACUAAACAAGCAUGCUUCGCUCCGAUGAUCGAAGAAAUAAAGCAUCUAGCGUAUUUAUGGAUUAAAAGUCAUUCGGUGCUAAAGGAAAUCACAUGGGAUGAAUGGUGUAAAUUUAAUGUUUCGAGUAAAUGUAGUUAAUGUGGUUCCUUUUGGACAAACUUCUUGUAAUUGUGACGAGGGCUAACACACUGUUAGUCUGUUGAUUUAACUAAAUAUACGUUUUUUGGCCGU